AUACGGAGGGUGCAAGCGUUACUCGGAAUCACUGGGCGUAAAGGACGCGUAGGCGGCUUCAUAAGUUAGGUGUGAAAGCCCACGGCUCAACCGUGGAACUGCACUUGAAACUGUGAUGCUAGAGUCUGGGAGAGGCAGAUGGAAUUGGUGGUGUAGGGGUAAAAUCCGUAGAGAUCACCAGGAAUACCGAUGGCGAAGGCGAUCUGCUGGAACAGUACUGACGCUGAGGCGUGAAAGCGUGGGGAGCAAACAGGAGUAGAAACCCUUGUAGUCC
rnacentral:rRNA from 1 species